rnacentral:rRNA from 1 species
GACGAACGCUGGCGGCGUGCUUAACACAUGCAAGUCGAGCGGAAAGGCCCUUCGGGGUACUCGAGCGGCGAACGGGUGAGUAACACGUGAGUAACCUGCCCCAGACUUUGGGAUAACCCUCGGAAACGGGGGCUAAUACCGGAUACGACACAGCUUCGCAUGGGGUCUGUGUGGAAAGUUUUUCGGUUUGGGAUGGGCUCGCGGCCUAUCAGCUUGUUGGUGGGGUGAUGGCCUACCAAGGCGACGACGGGUAGCCGGCCUGAGAGGGCGACCGGCCACACUGGGACUGAGACACGGCCCAGACUCCUACGGGAGGCAGCAGUGGGGAAUAUUGCACAAUGGGCGGAAGCCUGAUGCAGCGACGCCGCGUGUGGGAUGACGGCCUUCGGGUUGUAAACCUCUUUCAGCAGGGACGAAGCGUAAGUGACGGUACCUGCAGAAGGAGCGCCGGCCAACUACGUG